CCUACGGGGGGCAGCAGUGGGGAAUAUUGGACAAUGGGGGAAACCCUGAUCCAGCGACGCCGCGUGAGUGAAGAAGUAUUUCGGUACGUAAAGCUCUAUCAGCAGGGAAGAAAAUGACGGUACUUGACUAAGAAGCCCCGGCUCACUCCGUGCCAGCAGCCGCGGUACUACGUGGGGGGCAGGCGUUAUCCGGAUUUGCUGGGUGUAAGGGCGCGUAGACGGCAGUGCAAGUCUGGGGUGAAAGGCGGGGGCUCAACCCCCGGACUGCUGUGGAAACUGUACGGCGGGAGUGCGGGAGAGGUAAGUGGAAUUCCUGGUGUAGCGGUGAAAUGCGGAGAUAUCAGGAGGAACACCAGUGGCGAAGGCGGCUUACUGGACCGUAACUGACGCUGAGGCUCGAAGGCGUGGGUAGCAAACAGGAUUAGAUACCCCAGUAGUC
rnacentral:rRNA from 1 species